AACGAGCGCUGGCGGCAUGCCUAACACAUGCAAGUCGAACGAGACCUUUGGGUCUAGUGGCGCACGGGUGCGUAACGCGUGGGAAUCUGCCCUUGGGUUCGGAAUAACAGUGAGAAAUUGCUGCUAAUACCGGAUGAUGUCUUCGGACCAAAGAUUUAUCGCCCAGGGAUGAGCCCGCGUAGGAUUAGCUAGUUGGUGGGGUAAUGGCCUACCAAGGCGACGAUCCUUAGCUGGUCUGAGAGGAUGAUCAGCCACACUGGGACUGAGACACGGCCCAGACUCCUACGGGAGGCAGCAGUGGGGAAUAUUGGACAAUGGGCGCAAGCCUGAUCCAGCAAUGCCGCGUGAGUGAUGAAGGCCUUAGGGUUGUAAAGCUCUUUUACCAGGGAUGAUAAUGACAGUACCUGGAGAAUAAGCUCCGGCUAACUCCGUG
rnacentral:rRNA from 1 species